UACAGAGGUCCCAAGCGUUGUUCGGAUUUACUGGGCGUAAAGGGAGCGUAGGUGGCAGCCUAAGUCCGGUGUGAAAGCUCUGAGCUUAACUCAGAAAUGGCACUAGAUACUAGAUUGCUUGAGGAUUGGAGGGGAGAUUGGAAUUCUCGGUGUAGCAGUGAAAUGCGUAGAUAUCGAGAGGAACACCAGUGGCGAAGGCGAAUCUCUGGACAAUUCCUGACACUGAUGCUCGAAAGCUAGGGGAGCAAACGGG
rnacentral:rRNA from 1 species